UCCAGACUCCUACGGGAGGCAGCAGUGGGGGAUAUUGCACAAUGGGGGGAACCCUGAUGCAGCGACGCCGCGUGGGUGAAGGAGCGUUUCGGCGCGUAAAGCCCCAUCGGCAGGGAAGAAGGAGGACGGUACCUGACUAAGAAGCCCCGGCUAACUACGUGCCAGCAGCCGCGGUAAUACGUAGGGGGCAAGCGUUAUCCGGAUUUACUGGGUGUAAAGGGGGCGCAGACGGCAGCGCAAGCCAGGAGUGAAAGCCCGGGGCCCAACCCCGGGACUGCUCUUGGAACUGCGCGGCUGGAGUGCAGGAGGGGCAGGCGGAAUUCCUGGUGUAGCGGUGAAAUGCGUAGAUAUCAGGAGGAACACCGGUGGCGAAGGCGGCCUGCUGGACUGCGACUGACGUUGAGGCCCGAAAGCGUGGGGAGCAAACAGGAUUAGAUACCCCGGUAC
rnacentral:rRNA from 1 species